GAUGAAGAACGUAGCGAAAUGCGAUACUUGGUGUGAAUUGCAGAAUCCCGUGAACCAUCGAGUCUUUGAACGCAAGUUGCGCCCGAAGCCAUUAGGCCGAGGGCACGCCUGCCUGGGCGUCACACGUCGUUGCCCCCCCAUCUACUCCUUCGGGAUUGCGGGGGGCGGAUGAUGGCCUCCCGUGCGCCUCGUCGCGCGGUUGGCAUAAAUGCCAAGUCCUCGGCGACGCACGCCACGACAAUCGGUGGUUGCGAAACCUCGGUUGCCCGUCGUGUGCGGUCGUCGCGCAUCGAGGGCUCGAAAAAAUUGCCGGGCUACGGCUCGGCUUUCAACGCGACCCCAGGUCAGGCGGGGUUACCCGCUGAAUUUAAGCAUAUCAAUAAGCGGAGGA
rnacentral:misc_RNA from 1 species